rnacentral:rRNA from 1 species
CCUACGGGAGGCAGCAGUGAGGAAUAUUGGUCAAUGGACGCAAGUCUGAACCAGCCAUGUCGCGUGCAGGAAGACGGCUCUAUGAGUUGUAAACUGCUUUUGUACGAGGGUAAACGUAGAUAUGCGUAUCUGUUUGAAAGUAUCGUACGAAUAAGGAUCGGCUAACUCCGUGCCAGCAGCCGCGGUAAUACGGAGGAUUCAAGCGUUAUCCGGAUUUAUUGGGUUUAAAGGGUGCGUAGGCGGUCGGAUAAGUUAGUUGUGAAAUCCCGAGGCUCAACUUCGGAAUUGCCUCUGAUACUGUUCGGCUAGAGAGUAGUUGCGGUAGGCGGAAUGUGUGGUGUAGCGGUGAAAUGCUUAGAGAUCAUAAAGAACACCGAUUGCGAAGGCAGCUUACCAGGCUACUUCUGACGUUGAGGCACGAAAGCGUGGGGAGCAAACAGGAUUAGAUACCCUUGUAGUC